rnacentral:misc_RNA from 1 species
GUGAGUCAUCGAAUCUUUGAACGCAUAUUGCGCCCCUUGGUAUUCCGGGGGGCACACCUGUUCGAGCGCCAUUUCGACCCUCAAGCAUAGCUUGGUGUUGAGUGAAGUCCCUAAGGGGACCUCCCCGUAACUCGUAGGCGGUCGCUGCCCGCAACCCCCCAGCGUAGCAAGCUAACGCAUUCGCUCGGGGAUGGGGUGUGACCAUUGCCUUAUAAAACCUUCUCUUAAAAGGUUUGGCCUCGGAUCAGGUGGGGAUACCCGCUGAACUUAAGCAUAUCAAUAAGCGGAGGA